AUCUGAUUAUUUUCUCUGUACUAAUUGGUUUUACGUCUUCUUUGAAUUGAAUGAAUUGCCUGGUGGUUUUGUCACUGUGGGAGCACAGCUUAAUCCACUUAGAGCGAGGCGCUUGGGCUUGGUAAACUCUGGAGCUCUAGAAACGUUUUUCAUCAUUGUGGUCUUUGGGUGAUUUUUCGUAGGUGAGAAUGCAGAUGGAUCUCAAAUCCAUCCAUUUUCUCCAUUUCUAUUUCCACUGCCGUAGCCAAGUCAUCUCACCUGGCCCCCUAGACUACUUUGGGAACCUUGUAACUGGUUUUCCCAUCCUAUUCCCCUCUCUCCUUCUUCAGCCUCCAUAUAGUAGCCAGGUGCCUCUUUAGAAGAUAUAGACCUCUUGCUGGAAACACUGGUUUCUUCACAAUGAAUGAAGAAUAAAAUCUAAACCCCCUCCCAGGGCUGCCUGCACCCUACAAGAUCUGAGCCCUUGGUGGCUUCCUCAGCUUCAUUCUGCCCCGUGCUCACCACCAUCUUUCCACCACCGCCAUCCACUGAUUCCUUAAUCCUCCCAGCUCCAUCCUGCCGCAGGGCCCCUGCCUCUGUUCCUCCUUUGUCUGGAAUGGCCUUUGAGGGCCAUUCUUAUCCUGAAGGUCUCAUUUCAGGUGUCACCUUCUCAGAGAUGCCUUCCUCAACUAGGCAAGCCGGUUACUCUCUGUAAUCUGCCCUUCAGGGACUGUUACUCUCUAUAAUAUUCCCUGUUUUUCAUCACUUUUGUUAUUACUCUACCCUCUCCCGUUUAUUGCAUCUUUGUCAUAGCCUCCUGUGUAUGGUCUCUCUGGGGUCCCCCCCCCGUUUAUUUCCUUCGUGACCCCCGUCACAACCUCAAUUAUCUUACUUGUCUCUGUUUCUCUUCCCCGUCGGAACAGAGGCUCCUGAGGGCCAGGGCACCUUGGUCUUGUCCUCCAACUCCUCAGGGUUGAACAUGGUACCUGGUUCCUUGAAGGAGCCCAGGACAUGUCUGUUGAGCGGAUGAAUGAAAUACCAAAGACCCCGGUGCUGCAUCUUUAGGCGAUCUCAGUAACGUGGUGCGCAAGUGAACAUUGUUUGUAUUAAAGGAAAAAUCAUUGCUUCCUUUCCCAAAUUGUCGCAACGUUGAUGGAUUUUUAAAGUUGAUUUGCUCAAGAUUAGUGUGCUCGAUCAUCUUAGUGACCUACCCCUGGGGGUAUAAGAAGUAGGUCUGUUCUUUUGGGUUCAAGGUGGAGGACAGAGCACAUACACUUCCUACACUUCCCUCCCAGACAUUAGUGAAGGAAUGUGUUUGGAAUGCCCAGGCCCAAGGGGACAAGAUGACUGGAGAAGAAAUGGCGCCAUGAUUGUAGGGGCUGGAAUGCAGAGGCUAAGUGGUCACUGAUUAGCAGACCCAAGUGAACUUAAUCCUU